rnacentral:rRNA from 1 species
GAGCGGACCGAUGGGAGCUUGCUCCUUUAGGUUAGCGGCGGACGGGUGAGUAACACGUGGGCAACCUGCCCUGCAGACUGGGAUAACUUCGGGAAACCGGAGCUAAUACCGGAUAACACCGAAAACCGCAUGGUUUUCGGUUGAAAGGCGGCUUUUAGCUGUCACUGCAGGAUGGGCCCGCGGCGCAUUAGCUAGUUGGUGAGGUAACGGCUCACCAAGGCGACGAUGCGUAGCCGACCUGAGAGGGUGACCGGCCACACUGGGACUGAGACACGGCCCAGACUCCUACGGGAGGCAGCAGUAGGGAAUCUUCCGCAAUGGACGAAAGUCUGACGGAGCAACGCCGCGUGAGCGAAGAAGGUCUUCGGAUCGUAAAGCUCUGUUGUCAGGGAAGAACAAGUGCCGUUCGAACAGGGCGGUACCUUGACGGUACCUGACGAGGAAGCCACGGCUAACUACGUGCCAGCANCCGCGGUAAU